AGUCUUCUCUGGAGUAAGACAGCUGAACUUGAGAACAAGCUGUCAUGUGUUUAGCCGAAAGAAUGACGUCCCUGAAGGCUCACAGAGCCAUCAUUAAGGAUCAGACAGGCUGACAGUAUCCCAACUCUUUUUGGAAUCCGGGUUGAAGAAGUACAUUUAAAGACUCCUCUGUGAUUUAAACAUACAGCAAGUGAACAGUUUAUGAGCUACAC